GAUGAACGCUGGCGGUAUGCUUAACACAUGCAAGUCGAACGGUCACUUCGGUGAUAGUGGCGGACGGGUGAGUAACGCGUGAGAAUCUGUCUUCAGGUCGGGGACAACAGUUAGAAAUGACUGCUAAUACCGGAUGUGCCUUUGGGUGAAAGAUUUAUUGCCUGAAAAAGAGCUCGCGUCAGAUUAGCUAGUAGGUGGUGUAAGAGACUACCUAGGCUCCGAUCUGUAGCUGGUCUGAGAGGACGAUCAGCCACACUGGAACUGAGACGCGGUCCAGACUCCUACGGGAGGCAGCAGUGGGGAAUUUUCCGCAAUGGGCGAAAGCCUGACGGAGCAAUACCGCGUGAGGGACGAAGGCUUUUGGGUCGUAAACCUCUUUUCUCAAGGAAGAUGAUGACGGUACUUGAGGAAUAAGCAUCGGCUAACUCUGUG
rnacentral:rRNA from 1 species